UGGGGAAUCUUGCAUAAUGGGCGAAAGCCUGAUGCAGCGACGCCGCGUGCGGGAUGAAGGCCUUCGGGUUGUAAACCGCUUUCAGCAGGGACGAGGCCGCAAGGUGACGGUACCUGCAGAAGAAGCCCCGGCUAACUACGUGCCAGCAGCCGCGGUAAUACGUAGGGGGCAAGCGUUAUCCGGAUUCAUUGGGCGUAAAGAGCUCGUAGGCGGCCCGUUAGGUCAGGAGUCAAAUUCGGGGGCUCAACCCCCGCGCGCUCCUGAUACCGGCGGGCUUGAGUUUGGUAGGGGAAGGUGGAAUUCCCAGUGUAGCGGUGGAAUGCGCAGAUAUUGGGAAGAACACCGGUGGCGAAGGCGGCCUUCUGGGCCAUAACUGACGCUGAGGAGCGAAAGCUAGGGGAGCGAACAGGAUUAGAUACCCUGGUAGUCCUAGCCGUAAACGAUGGACACUAGGUGUGGGCGAAUGUUUCGUCCGCGCCGCAGCCAACGCAUUAAGUGUCCCGCCUGGGGAGUACAGCCGCAAGGCUA
rnacentral:rRNA from 1 species